CGACGUGAUAGUCUCUAUUGUACAAGAAAUAGGUUAAGUGAAAGAAUUUAACGUAUUAAUAAUAUAUUUGAAAGCAUAUUUAGAAUCUUAUGUCUAGGAAGCUACGCGUCUCGUCGUCUCUGACUCUCGGACGAAACUGCUCAAUGUCUUCAACCGAGGUUUUGAGGGUAUGGCCCUACAACAAAGUAAAUGUACCAUCAUUAAAUCACUAAGUCACUAUCUACCUAAAUCACUAAGUCAGUAUCUACCUAAAUCACUAAAUCACUAAAUCUACCUAAAUCACUUAAGUCAACUAAUCACUAAGUCACUUAACAUAGAAAAAUAAGGCAAUUGACUUACCAAUCUAUCCAAGAUUGGUCCUGCCUCCACUUGCCUUCCUACACAAGUACUUCGGUCGUAUGUCGUGUCUUCAUCGUCG
rnacentral:lncRNA from 1 species